rnacentral:misc_RNA from 1 species
ACGGCCUUCAUUUGCUGAGAUUAUGGCUGCUUUGAAACCACUGCAAAAGCCUAUAACCAGUUCACAAGUACCAAAACCACUGGGGAACAGAGGUCAAGAAAAGGGCCGGUCAUAAAGGAACGUGGAUGAUCGAGCAGCACAGCAUGUUUAGGACAGAAGGGAAAACGGAAUUUUAUCUUUUAUUGGAAACGAAGACAAGGUCCAUAUUUGUUUAACCCGAAAUUAAAGGAAGACAUAAAGGAUCUGUCA